AUGAGUCCGAUCAAGCCGGUGAGAGGCAAUGCCAGAAAAGUUGCCUUGGAUGAAGGUGACCAACAGAAAUUGAACUUAGUUGUGCGAUGUUCGUUGAGAGAGGUUGAAGAUUGUGCUAAAUUACUCGAGAGUCGGGUGAAGUCUAACAUUUCCCGCCCUCUGAUGGGAGUUUUGUACCUGAGGAUAGAUUCUGAUACAAUGACUCUUGACAUGGGUGGGGCUAAUAAGAAGCUUCGCAUCACUAGCGAUGGUAUACAGCAAUUAUUUGGUUUCCCUCGUGGUGGUCGUUCUGUGCCAAGGUCGUCAGAGGACGGAUAUGACAACGCUCUGAUGAAGUUAAGAUUGGAGCUUGACAUUAGCAGGAACAAAGAUAUCAAGACAAAGGAUUUGAGGAAUAAGCUCAAGGUGCUCGUCAAGGAUCCUAGCAAAGAUGACCUUGCUCUGAAAGUGUUCUUCAUUAUUGUGUUUAUGAAGGUUGUGCUGCCUGGUUCUGCCCCGCGUGUUUCCAGAGAGGCAGCAAUGUUUGAGGGUCUCGUCUUUGAGGACAUGGCUAAUAUGGAUUAUUGCCAGCUGAUGGUUGAUGAGCUUAGAAGGGCUGUUGCCAAGUACCAAGAUGGUGAUACCAUGGGGAAGGCAAUCACAGGCUGUGCCAUAGGGCCUGUACUAAUGUACCUUGACUGCCUUAUCCGUGGCAAGACUGCGGAGCCUGACAUGCGAGUCCCCCGCAUAUGUUUCAUGGAUCCUACCAAGCUUUCUGAUCUGGUUGAUGCAGAUUUGAUAAAAAAAAGGCAAUGCAGAUCCAAAGACUUGGGUUUUUGGGAAGCUUCCGUAAUGCUAGUGCUUCACAGAGGCAGGGUUUUGGUAUUGAUGUUGCUGUUUCAGCAUUGGAGCGCGCUGAGCAUAUCUUAA
rnacentral:rRNA from 1 species